UACGUAGGGUGCAAGCGUUAAUCGGAAUUACUGGGCGUAAAGCGUGCGCAGGCGGCUAUGCAAGACAGAUGUGAAAUCCCCGGGCUCAACCUGGGAACUGCAUUUGUGACUGCAUGGCUAGAGUACGGUAGAGGGGGAUGGAAUUCCGCGUGUAGCAGUGAAAUGCGUAGAUAUGCGGAGGAACACCGAUGGCGAAGGCAAUCCCCUGGACCUGUACUGACGCUCAUGCACGAAAGCGUGGGAAGCAAACAGG
rnacentral:rRNA from 1 species